GACGAACGCUGGCGGCGUGCUUAACACAUGCAAGUCGAACGGUGAAGCGCCUUCCUUUUUGGUGGGUGUGGAUGAGUGGCGAACGGGUGAGUAACACGUGAGUAACCUGCCCCCUUCUUCUGGAUAACCGCAUGAAAGUGUGGCUAAUACGGGAUAUUCUGGGUCUGUCGCAUGAUGGGUCUGGGAAAGAUAUUGUUUCGGUGGGGGAUGGGCUCGCGGCCUAUCAGCUUGUUGGUGGGGUGAUGGCCUACCAAGGCGGUGACGGGUAGCCGGCCUGAGAGGGUGGACGGUCACACUGGGACUGAGACACGGCCCAGACUCCUACGGGAGGCAGCAGUGGGGAAUAUUGCACAAUGGGCGCAAGGCUGAUGCAGCGACGCCGCGGGAGGGAUGGAGGCCGUCGGGUUGUGAACCUCUUUCGCCAGUGAAGCAGGCCUGCCUCGUUUGUGGGUGGGUUGACGGUAGCUGGAUAAGAAGCGCCGGCUAACUACGUG
rnacentral:rRNA from 1 species